rnacentral:rRNA from 2 species
GGAGGUAGUGACAAUAAAUCACAAUGCGGAACAAUGUUUUGCAAUUGGAUUGAGAACAACGUACAAACCUUAUCGAUAAACAAUUGGAGGGCAAGUCUGGUGCCAGCAGCCGCGGUAAUUCCAGCUCCAAUAGCGUAUAUUAACGUUGUUGCAGUUAAAAAGCUCGUAGUUGAAAUGAAGGGUAGUUGUGUAAUGAAUACAUUCGUGUAUUUUGUUAUUCAACUACCCUCCUUCUAAAUUCGAUAUAUGAGUAUUAAUUUACUUGUAUAUGGUUUUAGACGUUUACUGUGAGAAAAUUAGAGUGUUCAAAGCAGGCAUUUGCUUGAAUAUAUUAGCAUGGAAUAAUCAUGUAUGAUUUUCAUGAUGUAUUUGAUUGGUUUGGUUCAUGAGAAUAAGAUUAAAAGGGACAGUUGGGGGUAUUCAUAUUCAAUAGUCAGAGGUGAAAUUCUCGGAUUUAUGGAAGAUGAACAAGUGCGAAAGCA